rnacentral:rRNA from 1 species
ACGCAUGCAAGUCGAGCGAUGAGGCUCCCUUCGGGGAGUCAUCAGCGGCAGACGGGUGAGUAACACGUAGGUAACCUGCCCUCAAGACGGGGAUAACGCCUGGAAACGGGCGCUAAUACCGGAUGACCUUAGUUGGGGAAGAUCCGAUUAAGGAAAGGCUAUGGCGCUUGAGGAGGGGCCUGCGGCCCAUCAGUUAGUUGGUAGGGUAACGGCCUACCAAGGCGAAGACGGGUAGGGGGUGUGAGAGCACGGCCCCCCACACUGGGACCGAGACACGGCCCAGACUCCUACGGGAGGCAGCAGCGGGGAAUAUUGCGCAAUGGACGGAAGUCAGACGCAGCGACGCCGCGUGGGUGACGAAGGCCUUCGGGUCGUAAAGCCCUUUACUGAGGGACGAGAAAGGACGGUACCUUAGGAAUAAGCGUCGGCUAACUACGUGCCAGCAGCCGCGGUAAGACGUAGGACGCGAGCGUUAUCCGGAUUUACUGGGCGUAAAGCGUGUGUAGGCGGCGUGACAAGUUGGGCGUGAAAGCCCCGUGCUCAACGCGGGGAGGCCGCACAAUACUGUCAGGCUAGAGGGCACCAGAGGGGUGUGGAAUUCCCGGAGUAGCGGUAAAAUGCGCAGAUAUCGGGGAGGAACACCGGUGGCGAAAGCGGCACCCUGGGGUGCGCCUGACGCUGAGAGACGACAGCUAGGGGAGCGAACAGGAUUAGAGACCCUGGUA